CCUACGGGAGGCACCAGUGGGGAAUAUUGCACAAUGGGCGCAAGCCUGAUGCAGCCAUGCCGCGUGUAUGAAGAAGGCCUUCGGGUUGUAAAGUACUUUCAGAGGGGAGGAAGGCGGUGAGGUUAAUAACCUCACCGAUUGACGUUACCCGCAGAAGAAGCACCGGCUAACUCCGUGCCAGCAGCCGCGGUAAUACGGAGGGUGCAAGCGUUAAUCGGAAUUACUGGGCGUAAAGCGCACGCAGGCGGUCUGUCAAGUCGGAUGUGAAAUCCCCGGGCUCAACCUGGGAACUGCAUUCGAAACUGGCAGGCUAGAGUCUUGUAGAGGGGGGUAGAAUUCCAGGUGUAGCGGUGAAAUGCGUAGAGAUCUGGAGGAAUACCUGUGGCGAAGGCGGCCCCCUGGACAAAGACUGACGCUCAGGUGCGAAAGCGUGGGGAGCAAACAGGAUUAGAUACCCUCGUAGUC
rnacentral:rRNA from 1 species